UAAUGUCUGGGAAACUGCCUGAUGGAGGGGGAGUAACUACUGGAAACGGUAGCUAAUACCGCAUAACGUCGCAAGACCAAAGAGGGGACCUUCGGGCCUCUUGCCAUCAGAUGUGCCCAGAUGGGAUUAGCUAGUAGGUGGGGUAACGGCUCACCUAGGUGACGAUCCCUAGCUGGUCUGAGAGGAUGACCAGCCACACUGGAACUGAGACACGGUCCAGACUCCUACGGGAGGCAGCAUG
rnacentral:rRNA from 1 species